GAAUAUUGCGCAAUGGGCGAAAGCCUGACGCAGCUACGCCGCGUGGGUGAUGAAGGUCUUCGGAUCGUAAAGCUCUGUCGGGAGGGAAGAAGUUCUGACGGUACCUCCCAAGAAAGCACCGGCUAACUCCGUGCCAGCAGCCGCGGUAAUGCGGAGGGUGCAAGCGUUGCUCGGAAUUACUGGGCGUAAAGCGUACGCAGGCUGUUCACUAAGUCGGGUGUGAAAUCCCGGGGCUCAACCCCGGAAUUGCGCCCGAAACUGGUGGGCUUGAGUGCGGGAGAGGGAAGCGGAAUUCCUGGUGUAGAGGUGAAAUUCGUAGAUAUCAGGAGGAACACCGGUGGCGAAAGCGGCUUCCUGGCCCGACACUGACGCUCAUGUACGAAAGCGUGGGGAGCAAACAGG
rnacentral:rRNA from 1 species